CCUGGCGGCCGUUGAAAAAUGGCGACUGUGGCAGAGUUGAAGGCUGUUUUAAAGGACACCUUGGAAAAAAAGGGGGUAUUAGGGCAUUUAAAAGCAAGGAUCCGAGCUGAAGUUUUCAAUGCCCUAGAUGAUGACCGUGAACCCCGACCAUCAUUGUCUCAUGAAAACCUUCUAAUUAAUGAAUUAAUUCGAGAGUAUUUAGAAUUCAACAAAUAUAAGUAUACAGCAUCUGUCCUCAUAGCAGACGGAGUCUCACUCUAUUGUGAUCUCAGCUCACUGCAUCCUCCGCCUCCUGGGUUCAAGCAGUUCUCCUGCCUCAGCCUCCCGAGUACCUGGAACUACAGAAUCUGGUCAACCUGUAGUUCCGUUGGACAGACAGUUUCUCAUCCAUGAACUAAAUGCAUUUGAAGAAUCAAAGGAUAAUACAAUACCUCUUUUAUAUGGGAUUUUAGCCCAUUUCUUGCGUGGAACUAAGGAUGGCAUCCAGAAUGCAUUUCUGAAAGGGCCUUCACUUCAGCCUUCAGACCCAAGUCUUGGCAGACAACCUAGUAGAAGAAAGCCAAUGGAUGACCACCUAAGAAAGGAGGAACAGAAAAGUACUAACAUUGAAGAUCUUCAUGUUUCUCAGGCAGUCAACAGAUAAUGCUUUGUUUGGGGUAUCUUUUGUCUUAAAAUUGUAUUAUUAAUUAAAUAACUUAUUUAUUGUCCCAAUGUUACCAAAAUGCACCACUAAUGUUUGUAGAAAUUGGAGUUUCUACAAAACACCCCUCAUGUUUAACUACAUUUGUGAAUAAAAGCUAACUCUUGUCAUCUAGCUUAUUGGAUUUGACUUGAAAAAAAAAGUAUUGUUUUUACGAAGUAUUUUUUGUUUUUUUGAGAUGGAGUCUCGCUCUGUCACCCAGACUGGAGUGCAGUGGCACGAUCUCGGCUCACUGCAAUCUCUGCCUCCCGGAUUCAAGUGAUUCUCCUGCCUCAGCCUCCCAAGUAGCUGGGAAAACAGGCCUGUGCCACCACACCGGAGUAGUUUUUGUAUUUUUAGUAGAGAUGGGGUUUCACCAUGCUGGCCAGGCUGGUCUUGAACUCCUGACCUCAGGUGAUCUGUGUGCCCCAGCCUCCCAAAGCGCUGGGAUUACAGGUGUGAGCCACUGAGCCCAGCCAUUUAGGAAGUAUUAUAAAGGCCCUUAAAGUUUGUAAGGAAAUGAAAGGGCUUUGUAUUACCUUUUCAAUAGGCAACAAUGUACUUUUUCUUUCCUUAGACUUUGGCUUACUGGAAGAUUUAAUUAAAAGGUAGAGGAGAAGUAAAUUUGCUGUAAUAAUUUUGCUGUAAAUAAAACAAAGAGUUUAUUUUAUUAGAUAAAGAAUGUGAAGUAAGCAUGAAGAGACAGGCUUUGGGAGAAAUACCAGAAAGGGAUUUUUCAAAGAUGGCAUUGUUUAAUCUCCGUGUGGCCCUCGGUUGUGCAAUCACAGAUGAGCCAGAAGAGGGCCAGCCCCCUACUUGUUUGGGCUCCGAAACUCUUACCAAACAUCAAUUUUUAUUCUUGGGAUAGAAAAAUAGUAUGUGCUAUCUCUAAUACGCUACUUCGAUAUUUAUUAAAGAAGUAUUUUUAAUGUAGUGUCCACAGGCUCAUUUCAUUGAAAACAACUGACUAUGAUGAUAGACAGCUCCUGAUUGGCAAAAGUUCGAUGGUAUAUUCAGAAUUAAAUUUUGCCUGCACACCUAAACACUGACAACAUUUAGCUUAAAGGUUUUCCAUGGAGAAGAGUGGUAAGAGCUGUAGUUAGCAAAAUUGGCAUCCUCUUUAGGGUGUCAAUUCUGUGCUGCUUUGCAAAUUGUUGAAACUUUUGAUUUUCUGUUUGGCAAUGCUAGUCAGUGUUCACUUCUUACAGAUUAGCCAAGAAUUUUUAUCUAAAUGCAGAAACUUAUUAAUGAAAUCCAUUUAAACUAUACUUACACAACAUUUUGGGAGGCCCUGCUGGUAAAAUUAUAUAUGGAUGCAGAAGUAUUGCAAGAGUCCAUUUUCCAUUUUUAAAUCUGCAAUAUCUGAUUACAUUGAUGAAUUCCGUUGUAUUGUAUGUGUGAAUAUAAAUAUCUGAAUUCUCCCGGGGGACUUGGUUUUCGUCCAAGGAUGUUGGCAGUGGACACUUAGUUUACCUCAGGAAUUGCAAUCAUGUAAGACUAUAUUCGGAAAAAAUGCUGGAGUAUAUAAUUUUGGAUACUGAUAUAAAAUCAUCAAGAUGGAAGUUAAGCAGAAUUGUCACGUGUAGUCCAUAGCGCUUUUAUAUGCAUUAUUCUGUAAUUUGUUUGUACUGCGGCAACUUUUUAUACUUUCAAUGUAUCAUUUAAUAAAAAAAAUAAGCAAGUCA